rnacentral:rRNA from 1 species
GGGGGGGGGGGGGGGGGGGGGGGGGGGAGGGGGGGCGGGCGGUGAGGCGCGGGUGGCGGGGUGGGGGGGGGGCGAGCGGGGGGGUACCGGGUGAGUAAGCGGCCCUUAACUCUGGGAUAGGCCUGGGAGACUGGGGCUAAUACCGAGUAGGAGCGUGCACCGCAUGGGGGGGGUUGGCAAUAGGUAUCGGUUUUGGAUGGACUCGCGGCCUCUCAGCUUGUUUGUGAGGUAAUGGCUCAACAAGGCGACGACGGGUAGCCGGCCUGAGGGGGUGACCGGCCACACUGGGACUGAGACACGGCCCAGACUCCUACGGGAGGCAGCAGUGGGGAAUAUUGCACAAUGGGCGCAAGCCUGAUGCAGCGACGCCGCGUGAGGGAUGACGGCCUUCGGGUUGUAAACCUCUUUCAGUAGGGAAGAAGCGAAAGUGACGGUACCUGCAGAAGAAGCACCGGCUAACUACGUG